rnacentral:rRNA from 1 species
UACGUAGGGGGCAAGCGUUGUCCGGAAUCAUUGGGCGUAAAGCGCGUGUAGGCGGUUCGGUAAGUCGGCUGUGAAAGUCCAGGGCUCAACCCUGGGAUGCCGGUCGAUACUGCCGGACUAGAGUUCGGAAGAGGCGAGUGGAAUUCCCGGUGUAGCGGUGAAAUGCGCAGAUAUCAGGAAGAACACCCGUGGCGAAAGCGGCUCUCUGGGACGGUACUGACGCUGAGACGCGAAAGCGUGGGGAGCGAACAGG